GUGAGGAAUAUUGGUCAAUGGGCGAGAGCCUGAACCAGCCAAGUCGCGUGAAGGAAGAAGGUACUUAGUAUUGUAAACUUCUUUUGCCGGGGAACAAAAGUCAUCACGUGUGGUGAAAUGAGUGUACCCGGAGAAAAAGCAUCGGCUAACUCCGUGCCAGCAGCCGCGGUAAUACGGAGGAUGCGAGCGUUAUCCGGAUUUAUUGGGUUUAAAGGGUGCGCAGGCGGACUGUCAAGUCAGCGGUAAAAUGUCGGGGCUCAACCCCGGCCGGCCGUUGAAACUGGUGGUCUGGAGUUGGAGAGAAGUAUGCGGAAUUCGUGGUGUAGCGGUGAAAUGCAUAGAUAUCACGAAGAACUCCGAUUGCGAAGGCAGCAUACCGGCUCCAUACUGACGCUGAGGCACGAAAGCGUGGGGAUCGAACAGG
rnacentral:rRNA from 1 species